UACGUAGGGUGCAAGCGUUGUCCGGAAUUAUUGGGCGUAAAGAGCUCGUAGGCGGUUUGUCGCGUCGAAUGUGAAAACCCGGGGCUCAACCCCGGGCCUGCAUUCGAUACGGGCAGACUAGAGUUCGGUAGGGGAGUCUGGAAUUCCUGGUGUAGCGGUGAAAUGCGAAGAUAUCAGGAGGAACACCGGUGGCGAAGGCGGGACUCUGGGCCGAUACUGACGCUGAGGAGCGAAAGCGUGGGGAGCGAACAGG
rnacentral:rRNA from 1 species